AACGAACGCUGGCGGCAGGCCUAACACAUGCAAGUCGAGCGCGCCCUUCGGGGUGAGCGGCGGACGGGUGAGUAACGCGUGGGAACGUGCCCUUUUCUACGGAAUAGCCUCGGGAAACUGAGAGUAAUACCGUAUACGCCCUUUGGGGGAAAGAUUUAUCGGAAAAGGAUCGGCCCGCGUUGGAUUAGGUAGUUGGUGGGGUAAUGGCCUACCAAGCCGACGAUCCAUAGCUGGUUUGAGAGGAUGAUCAGCCACACUGGGACUGAGACACGGCCCAGACUCCUACGGGAGGCAGCAGUGGGGAAUCUUAGACGAUGGGGGCAAACCUGAUCUAGCCAUGCCGCGUGAGUGAUGAAGGCCUUAGGGUUGUAAAGCUCUUUCAGCUGGGAAGAUAAUGACGGUACCAGCAGAAGAAGCCCCGGCUAACUCCGUG
rnacentral:rRNA from 1 species